AAAGGAAUGGCUUUUCAUAACUAUCUCGGCAUGUCCAUGGGACUGGAUAGCAGCUAUGAGCUCCUGUAGAAAGCCAUCGUGUCAGGGGUAUUUCCUGUCUCACAGCAGCUAUUCCCCGUGUCACAGAGGAGGUCUUCCACAAAGGAGCUGCUUCUGAAGAACAGUGUGUCACCAACAAUUCAGCAGGUUCAGUUUAGCAGAGACAGUGAUAGAAGUGAGCAGGAAGGAGCUAUUCUUCCCCUCUGCUUUUCUUCCCUCUCCAUUGAGCAAAGCCUUUAAAGACCAGGUCACUUCACAGAAGGCUACAGAACUUUUAGUGGAAGAAAGAUGAGCUAGCAAUUUGCUGCUGGCCUGGCAAGAUAGCAGUGAAUUACGGCAGCUCCUGAGCCAGCUCAGCUGCGCUGGCGAGCGUUCAGGAGAGGAGAAACCCUUCCCGCAGGAGCGGAGGAGGGAAGCAGGUGUGUUAUUCCAUUUUGUUCACUGGAUGGCGGAGAUCACAGAGCUAACUCGGGCCAUAAGGGCUCCUCAGCUCCUCUGAAAAGCCACAUGGCCCCGAGGACACCGAUCCUCGUGCUCACGUUUGGCAAAACAGGCUGGCUCCUGGCAGCCUGCCGUGGCAGAGCCCGUCCCUGAGCUGCACCGGGGGCUCCUCCGCAAAGACACACCCCAGACAGAGGUGCCAGGGCUGCCGAGAGGACACCACGAACCCGGCACUCCAGUCACUGCAUGAGUGCGAGAAACGCCUGGAAAAUUGCACAAAGCACUGAACAACCCGUGGGCAAUUCUCUGUCACAGUAAAACUUCGGUGCGAAUGAGAAACCUAACAACUGAAAACAGCUCAGAUGCACUGCUAGGAAGCAAAAAGCAGCUUCAAUUAUCUACCACCUAUUUUUUUUCCCCCUCUCUCAGGGUUUCUUUGGUCUCCUAACACUGCAAUAAAUAACGGGCAUAAACCAGA